rnacentral:rRNA from 1 species
CAGUCGCCGCGGGAAGACGAACCGUGCGAACGUUAUUCGGAAUCACUGGGCUUAAAGCGCGUGUAGGCGGAUGGGAGCGUCGGCCUCUGAAUCCCCCAGCUCAACCGGGGAAGUGGAGCCGAAACGACCCGUCUGGAGGGACGUAGGGGGACCUGGAACUUCCGGUGGAGCGGUGAAAUGCGUUGAGAUCGGAAGGAACGCCCGUGGCGAAAGCGAGGUCCUGGACGUCUGCUGACGCUGAGACGCGAAGGCCAGGGGAGCGAACGGGAUUAGAUACCCCCUAGUCCCUGUCUCUUAUACA